CGGGGUGUGGCUCAGUUUGGCUAGAGCGCCUGGUUUGGGACCAGGAGGUCGCAAGUUCGAAUCCUGUCACCCCGA
rnacentral:tRNA from 2 species